rnacentral:lncRNA from 1 species
AGCCGCCCGGGCAAUUCUUUAAAUUUAAAAGGUGCUUAUAUAGCCUGGCGCGGUGGCUCACGCCUGUAAUCCCAGCACUUUGGGAGGCCCAGGCGGGUGGAUCACACGAGGUUGGGAGUUCCAGACUAGCCUGACCAAUAUGGAGAAACCCCGUCUCUACUAAAAAAACAAAAUUAGCCAGACAUGGUGGCACAUGCCUGUAAUCCCAGCUACUCAGGAGGCUAAGGCAGGAGACUCGCUUGAACCCAGGAAGCAGAGGUUGCGGUGAGCCGAGAUCAUGCCAUUGCACUCCAGCCUGGGCAACAAGGGCAAAAACUCCAUCUCAGAAAAAAAAAGCUGCUUAUAUAAUCAAGAGAUUAAAAAUGGACAAUCUGUACAAGUGAUAUAGACAUCCCUUCUAGAUUGUUUAUAAAACAAUUAAGCACUUUGUUUAUGGAAAAUGAGAGAUCUGAAAAGUACAAGAAAACUGCUCUGUCCCCAGCUCACAGCAGCUGUGAAGAGAACCUCCCUUCUCAGUAACAGGCACAAUUUGUCUUCAGAUUUCUGCUGCCUAUAUAUUUGACACUCAUUAUUUACACCUCUACAAUCUAAUGGACAUCACUCCUUCCAUAAUUAACCAGUUUGAUAGUUACUGAAGAACAAAUUACAAUUGAACUGCUAAGACUACCUGCAAAAACAGAAAUAAAAACAAAAAAAACCCUAUUUCAUGUAAGUAAUCACUUGAUACACUGAAAACUGCUGUUAUAACUUGAGACUGUUAUUGUUAGAAAGUUAGCAUCAGGGCUGAGUGUGCACAUUAAUAUACUUCAACUUUGUCCCCAACCACUGCAACCAUUAGCAAGGUCAUUUACUCUCUCCGGAGCCUCAUUUCUUUCUAUACAAACCUGAAAUGUAAAAGUCUAACCUUUCAAUGCCCUGUGCUUAAAUGUCAAAUGGGGAAUAGUACCAGGAAAGUAUAUCUUUUUAUCAUUAUUAAAAUCCAAGGUGCCCUUGUGGAAGCAGCAAAAUGGAGUAGAUUGAAACUUUUGGGCCAACUGAAAUUUCCUAUAACACCACAAAUCCAUUGAAACAAAUAAGUAGACCAGUGGAAAUGAAAUCGUAACACUUGUUGCUGAUUCAUUUAAGAGAAAGAUAUGAGCUAGCCUUACAAUUGGGUUUCAUGUAAUACAACUGUCAAAUGCCCUGUAGUCCCAGUUACUUGGGAGGCUGAGGGAGAAGGAUCGCUUGACCCCAGAGUUCAAAUCGUUUGGGCAACAUAGAAAACUUUGUCUCUUAAAAACAAAUUGUCAAAAGUUUUCUUUAUGAAAAAUAUUAAAUCAUCAGGCUUUUUAAAUGAUAUGAUUUUUAGAUUAAGACAAGUUAUGUAACUUCUGGACAACCAUGAAAUAAGAUAUUAUUACUGAUAAACUUCAUAGCAAUGUUAAAAGACCACAUUUUGAAAAAUACAGGCAUAUCUUGGAGAUAUUGCAGGUUUGCUUCCAGACAACUGUAAUAAAAUGUUUAACACAAUAAAGGGAGUCACACAAUUAUUUUUAUUUUCCAGUACCUAUAAAAGUUAUGUUUAAUCUAUAUUAUAGUCUAUUAAGUUUGCAAUAGCAUUAUAUCUGACAAUGUACAUACUUUAAUUUAAAAAUAUUUUAUUGCUAAAAGAUGUUAACGAUAAUCUAAGUCUUCAGUGAGUCUUUGUUGCUGGAAGACAGUCUUGCCUCACUGUUGAUGGCUGCUGAAUGAUCGGUGUGGUGGUUGCUGAAGGUUAGUGUGGCUCUAGAGAUUUCUUUAAAUGAGACAACAAGGAAGGCUGCAACAUCAACUGACUCUUCCUUUCCGAAAGAUUUAUCUGUAGCAUGUGUUGCUGUUGGAUAGCCUUUUACCCACAGUGGAACAUUCUUCAAAAUUGAAGUCAAUCCUCUCAAACUCUGCUGCUGUUUUAUCAACUAAGUUUAUGUAAUAUUCUAAGUCCUUUGUUGUCAUUUCAACAAUGGUCACAGGAUCUUCACCAGGAGUAGUUUCCAUCUCAAGAAACCACUUUUGUGGCUCUUAUAUUAGAAGCAACUCCUCAUUUGUUCACGUUUUAUCAUGAGAUUGCAGCAAUUCAGUCACAUAUGCAGGUUCCACUUCUAAGUCUAGUUAUCUUGCUAUUUCCACCACAUCUGCAGUUACUUCGUCCACUGAAGUCUUGAACCCCUCAAGAUCAUCCAUCAGGGUUGAGGUCAAUGUCUUCUGAACUCCUGUUAAUGUUGAUAUUUUGACCUUCUCCCAUGAAUCACAAAUGUCCUUAAUGGCAUCUAGAAUGAUGAAUCCUUUCCAGAAGGUUUUCAAGUUACUUUGUACAGAACAACCACUAUGGCAGCCACAGCCUUACAAAAUGUAUUCCUUAAAUAAUACUUGAAAGUCAAAAUUACUCCUUGACCCAUGGAGUAAUGGAUCCUGCAGAAUGGAUGUUGUUUAGCAGACAUAAAAACAUUAAUCUCUUUGUACAUCUCCAUCAGAACUCUUGGGUGACCAGACACAUUAUCAACGAGCAGUAAUAUUUGGAACUAAAUUUUUUUUUUUUUUGAGACAGUCUCACUCUGUUACCCAGGCUGAAGCACAGUGGUGCAACCUCAGCUCACUGCAACCUCUGCCUCUGGAUUCAAGCAAUUCUCCUGCCUCAGCCUCCCAAGUAGCUGGGAUUACAGGCACACACCACCACAUCCAGCUAAUUUUUGUAUUUUUAGUAGAGAUAGGGUUUCUCCAUGUUGGUCAGGCUGGUCUCAAACUCCUGACCUCAACUGAUCCACCUGCCUUGGCCUCCCAAAGUGUUGGGAUUACAAGUGUGAGCCACCACACCUGACAGAAUUCUUUUUUCCUAAUAUUUAGUAGGUCUCAACAGUGGGCUUAAAAUAUUCAGUAAUCCAUGCUGUAAACAGAUGUGCUGUCAUCCAGGCUUUGAUCUUCCAUUUCUAGAGCACAGGCAGAGUGGAUUUAGCAUAAUUCUUAUGGGCCCUAGGAUUUUCUGAAUGGUAAAUGAGCAUUGGCUUCAACUUAAAGUUACCAGCUGCAUGAACCCCUAACAAGAGAGACGAGCUGUCCUUUGAUGCUUUUAAGCCAGGGAUUAACUUCUCUUCUCCAUGAAAGUCCUAGAUGGUUUCUUCUUCCAAAAGAAGGCUGUUUGGAAUACACUGAAAAUCUCGUGGUGUAGCAACUUCAUCAAUUAACUUAGCUAGAUCUGGAUAAAUUGCUACAGCUUCUACACCAGCACUUGCUGCUUCACCUUGCACUUUUAUGAUAAGAUGACUUCUUAAACCUCAUGAACCAACCUCUGCUAGCUUCAAACUUUCCUGCAGCUUCCUCACUUCUCUCAGCCUUCAUACAAUGGCAGUUAUGGCCUUGCUCUGGAUUAGGUUUUGGCUUAAGGGAAUUUGUGGUUGGUUUGAUCCAGACCCCUAAAACUUUCUCCAUAUCAGUAAUAAUGCUGUUUCACUUUUUUUGGUUUCAUUCUGUCACACAGGCUGGAGAUUUGCUAGGCAUAAGAGCCGUAAGACUGCCAAGAUAAAGCUCAUGAGGAGUGAGAAGAAGGGG